rnacentral:rRNA from 1 species
GAUGAACGCUGGCGGCGUGCCUAACACAUGCAAGUCGAACGGAGUCGUUUUGGAAAUCUCUUCGGAGAUGGAAUUCUCGACUUAGUGGCGGACGGGUGAGUAACGCGUGAGCAAUCUGCCUUUAAGAGGGGGAUAACAGUCGGAAACGGCUGCUAAUACCGCAUAAAGCAUCAAAUUCGCAUGUUUUUGAUGCCAAAGGAGCAAUCCGCUUUUAGAUGAGCUCGCGUCUGAUUAGCUGGUUGGCGGGGUAACGGCCCACCAAGGCGACGAUCAGUAGCCGGACUGAGAGGUUGAACGGCCACAUUGGGACUGAGACACGGCCCAGACUCCUACGGGAGGCAGCAGUGGGGAAUAUUGCGCAAUGGGGGAAACCCUGACGCAGCAACGCCGCGUGAUUGAAGAAGGCCUUCGGGUUGUAAAGAUCUU